rnacentral:rRNA from 1 species
UGCAAGUCGAGGGGUAACAUGGGGUAGCAAUACCCUGAUGACGACCGGCAAACGGGUGCGGAACACGUACGCAACCUUCCCAUAACUGGUGAAUAGCCCUCCGAAAGGAGGAUUAAUACACCGUAACAUAACGAUGUGGCAUCAUGUUGUUAUUAUAGGCUUCGGCCGGUUUUGGAUGGGCGUGCGCCUGAUUAGGUAGUUGGCGGGGUAACGGCCCACCAAGCCUACGAUCAGUAACUGGUGUGAGAGCACGACCAGUCACACGGGCACUGAGACACGGGCCCGACUCCUACGGGAGGCAGCAGUAAGGAAUAUUGGUCAAUGGACGAAAGUCUGAACCAGCCAUGCCGCGUGAAGGAUGAAGGCCCUCUGGGUUGUAAACUUCUUUUAUAGGGGACGAAAAAAGCUCAUUCUUGAGCACUUGACGGUACCCUAGGAAUAAGCACCGGCUAACCCCGUGCCAGCAGCCGCGGUAAUACGGAGGGUGCAAGCGUUAUCCGGAUUUACUGGGUUUAAAGGGUGCGUAGGUGGGCAGUUAAGUCAGUGGUGAAAUCUCCGGGCUUAACCCGGAAACUGCCAUUGAUACUAUCUGUCUUGAAUAUCCUGGAGGUGAGCGGAAUAUGUCAUGUAGCGGUGAAAUGCUUAGAUAUGACAUAGAACACCAAUUGCGAAGGCAGCUCACUACGGGGUCAUUGACACUGAGGCACGAAAGCGUGGGGAUCAAACAGGAUUAGAUACCCUGGUAGUCCACGCCCUAAACGAUGGAUACUCGACAUCAGCGAUACACUGUUGGUGUCUGAGCGAAAGCAUUAAGUAUCCCACCUGGGAAGUACGAUCGCAAGAUGAAACUCAAAGGAAUUGACGGGGGUCCGCACAAGCGGUGGA